UGGGUAACCUGCCCGGAAGUGGGGAAUACCUCGGGGAAACUCGAGCUAAUACCGCAUGAAAUCUUCGGGACGAAAGUCCUGACGAUCAAAGCGGGGCCGCAAGGCCUCGCGCUCCCGGAUGGGCCCGCGCCCGAUUAGCUAGUUGGCGAGGUAACGGCUCACCAAGGCUUCGAUCGGUAACCGGCCUGAGAGGGCGAUCGGUCACACCGGAACUGAGACACGGUCCGGACUCCUACGGGAGGCAG
rnacentral:rRNA from 1 species